AAGAACGUCGGGCAGGGAUCCCCUCCUGCCGCAGCGGAGGUAGAGGGAGGCAUAGUUUUUGGCAAUAGCCAGCCAAGGAUACAGGGAACAGGUGCAGCGCCUGCACGCUGACUUCACGUGGUGGAUGCCUGGCUGAGAGAGAAGUAGGAAACCCUAACAACGCUUCUUCCAGCUUUGAUCUGCCUGGGGGAGCCCGUGGUGGAAGAUGACUCUGUAGCCCUGGUGUCUCCCAGCAUCCGGAGUGGGAGCCCCAAGAGCCAUGUAGACAGGCACCCAGCACUGUGCCAGCUAUGUGGGAGUUGGCUGGCUCUGGGGACGAGCUGUUGGCAGUGCAGGUGGCUGGCGACAAGGAUGGAGUGUGAGGCCUCGAGACAGGUUGGCAGGUAGCACAGAAGCCUCGGCACUCAGCAGAGCUGCGGUCCUGGCUGCUCUGAGGAUGGAGACCACAGGAGGACUUGGAAUCCUCUGGGAAUGGAGUUACAGCUGGUUGAGAGCCACGUCAGGACUACUUGGCCUAAGACCUGAAGAGACUCCAGAGGAGAAGCCAUUUCCUGCCCACCCCAAAUGAUGGAGACUCCAGCUUCCCGUAAGAUCUGACGAUGAUCUGCCUCGGUUUCAAAAGCAAGCCAAAAGGGUUAAGAGCUUUUCCUGCAAGGUCCCGCUCGAGCAUCCCAGCCCCAGGCUUGCCAGGGUGAGCUUUUCCUUUCCUUACACUCAUAGAUUCAGGCCAGGCCUGCCUUCACCACACUCCCCACAGCCAUCUAAGAUGAGGAGAACUGGGAGACUCCUGUGUCAGGUCUGACUGUGCUGAGUCCAGAGUGCCCCCUGGUGGACACUGGUAGCCCUCUAAAUCUGAAUCUCUUCAUUGGGGCAGAGCCUCUAGUCUUGUGCUAAGGCAGGCUACCAGCUCAAUCCAGCUGGAGCUAGAUGCAAACCAGUCUGGGAAAGAAGAAAGGCUAGG
ensembl:processed_transcript D030028A08Rik RIKEN cDNA D030028A08 gene